UCAGAGUUUGCAAAGAUUGAUACCAAGUAUCCACAACUCCACUAGUGCAAGUAUGAGAUCAUCUUGCUCAGCAAUGCGUUUUUUUUUUGUUUACUCUGGUAGUCUGGUUAAAUACAUAUACACGUAUAAUAUGCUUGAUGUAUCACAUGAUGACAAACAUCACAGACAUUUGCAUGCUGAUAAACUGUAUGAAUCACAGACAUUUGUGUCCUAGGAUUGAACUGAAGCUCCUUCAUGGCUUCAUUCCUCGGAAUCAGACUCGAGGGGGCAGGAGCCGUCGUCGACGGUGGCCAGCGGG
rnacentral:lncRNA from 1 species